CGCGGCCUAUCAGCUUGUUGGUGAGGUAAUGGCUCACCAAGCCGACGACGGGUAGCUGGAGUGAGAGCUCGAUCAGCCACACUGGGACUGAGACACGGCCCAGACUCCUACGGGAGGCAGCAGUGGAGAAUCUUGCACAAUGGGCGAAAGCCUGAUGCAGCCACGCCGCGUGAGGGAAGAAGGCUUUCGAGUUGUAAACCUCUUUCAGCCGUGAAGAAGCGAGAGUGACGGUAACGGCAGAAGAAGCCCCGGCCAACUACGUGCCAGCAGCCGCGGUAAUACGUAGGGGGCAAGCGUUAUCCGGAAUUAUUGGGCGUAAAGCGCGUGUAGGCGGCCCUGUAAGUCGGAUGUGAAAUCCCAGAGCUCAACUCUGGAACUGCAUCCGAUACUGCAGGGCUUGAGGUAGGUAGAGGAAGGUGGAAUUUCCAGUGUAGCGGUGGAAUGCGCAGAUAUUGGAAGGAACACCGAUGGCGAAGGCAGCCUUCUGGGCCUCACCUGACGCUGAGACGCGAAAGCAUGGGUAGCGAACAGGAUUAGAUACCCUGGUAGUCCAUGCCGUAAACGAUGGGUGCUAGGUGUGGGGGACAGUUCACGUCCUCCGUGCCGAAGCCAACGCGUUAAGCACCCCGCCUGGGGAGUACGG
rnacentral:rRNA from 1 species